rnacentral:rRNA from 1 species
AUGUUGCAUGGUUCAUUACCAGCAAGUCUACAACAAAUGUCAGCUUCCCGAUUAUCUCUCGACUCCAAUAACCUCACAGGUCUAGUUCCACGCCUUCCUAUAAACAUAUCCAUCUUUGAUCUAUCUUCAAACUCUUUCUCAGGGCCAUUGCCACAUGAGCUAAUAGCUCCACGGCUUGAGGUGCUGAUUCUGGAAAAUAAUCAAAUUAUAGGAACCAUUCCAUCAUCUAUCUGCCAAUUGACUCGUCUGAGACGCUUGGACCUAUCACGAAACAAUCUAACAGGAGAUGUUUUGCAAUGCUGGAAUGGUCCAGACAACAAUACUUCAGUGUCCAGGGUAAACUCUGCAAAUCAAUUUGGUUCUGUCAUGUCUAUUCUAGUCUUGAGCAACAAUGAUUUCUCGGGUGAAUUUCCUAAAUUUCUUCAGAGUACCUCACAAUUGAGGAUCCUUGAUCUUUCAUACAAUAGGUUCUUUGGAACAUUGCCAGAGUGGUUACCAGGAAAAAUGCAAGACUUGGAAAUCUUGAGGUUGAGAUCAAAUAUGUUCAAUGGCCAUAUUCCUAGCAACUUUACUUGCCUUUCAAAUCUUCGUUAUUUGGACCUAGCCCGUAACAAUAUAUCAGGAUCCAUACCAUGGUCACUAUCAAACUUGAAAGCAAUGAGAUACGCAUCUGAUAGAGAUUAUGAAUAUGACUAUGUUUUUAAUGGUGCUUUUGACGACAGCAUGCCAGUAAUCACCAAAGGCCAAACACGUGAUUAUUCCUUUGAAAUAUACAAGCUACUCGUGAAUCUUGAUCUGUCAUGUAACAAUUUAACAGGACAAAUUCCAGAGGAGAUACAUUUGCUGAUUGGGCUUACUAGUAUGAACCUAUCAAGUAAUCAGCUGGUCGGCAAAAUCCCAGACAAGAUUGGUGAUCUGAAGCAGUUGGAGUCCCUGGACCUAUCCCGCAACAAGUUUUCUAGUGAAAUCCCGUCGAGUUUGUCGGCUCUAACCUCUCUGGGCUACUUGAACCUGUCAUACAACAACUUAUCAGGUGCUAUCCCAUCCGGGCCACAGCUACAAGUCCUUGACAACCAGAUUGGUAUCUACAUCGGCAACCCAGGUCUAUGUGGCUACCCUCUCCCCAAGAGCUGUUCUGCUAGUACUUCAAAUGCAGAGCAAAGUGUCAACCAUGAAGAUGCAGAUCAUAUCUCAUAUCUCUACCUUGGGAUGGGCAUAGGAUUUGUGGUCGGCCUCUGGGUGGUGUUUUGCACCAUGUUACUGAGGAGAACCUGGGUGAUUGCUUACUUUCAGAUCAUUGACAAAAUUUAUGAUGAUGUUUAUGUAUGGGUGGCUAUUACUUGGGCUCACCUGAUGAAGAACCAUGACGACGACGCAGCGUGA